GACCCGUCUUGAAACACGGACCAAGGAGUCUAACAUAUGUGCAAGUUAUUGGGAUAUAAACCUAAUAGCGUAAUUAACUUGACUAAUAAUGGGAUUAGUUUUUUAACUAUUUUAUAGCUAAUUAACACAAUCCCGGGGCGUUCUAUAUAGUUAUGUAUAAUAAUAUUUAUAUUAUUUAUGCCUCUAACUGGAACGUACCUUGAGCAGAUAUGCUGUGACCCGAAAGAUGGUGAACUAUACUUGAUCAGGUUGAAGUCAGGGGAAACCCUGAUGGAAGACCGAAACAGUUCUGACGUGCAAAUCGAUUGUCAGAAUUGAGUAUAGGGGCGAAAGACCAAUCGAACCAUCUAGUAGCUGGUUCCUUCCGAAGUUUCCCUCAGGAUAGCUGGUGCAUUUUAAUGUUAUAUAAAAUAAUCUUAUCUGGUAAAGCGAAUGAUUAGAGGCCUUAGGGUCGAAACGAUCUUAACCUAUUCUCAAACUUUAAAUGGGUAAGAACCUUAACUUUCUUGAUAUGAAGUUUAAGGUUAUGAUAUAUUGUGCCCAGUGGGCCACUUUUGGUAAGCAGAACUGGCGCUGUGGGAUGAACCAAACGUAAUGUUACGGUGCCCAAAUUAACAACUCAUGCAGAAACCAUGAAAGGCGUUGGUUGCUUAAAACAGCAGGACGGUGAUCAUGGAAGUCGAAAUCCGCUAAGGAGUGUGUAACAACUCACCUGCCGAAGCAACUAGCCCUUAAAAUGGAUGGCGCUUAAGUUGUAUACCUAUACAUUACCGCUAAAGUAGAUGAUUUAUAUUACUUGUAAUAUAAAUUUUGAAACUUUAGUGAGUAGGAAGGUACAAUGGUAUGCGUAGAAGUGUUUGGCGUAAGCCUGCAUGGAGCUGCUAUUGGUACAGAUCUUGGUGGUAGUAGCAAAUAAUCGAAUGAGACCUUGGAGGACUGAAGUGGAGAAGGGUUUCGUGUGAACAGUGGUUGAUCACGAGUUAGUCGGUCCUAAGUUCAAGGCGAAAGCCGAAAAUUUUCAAGUAAAAAUAAAAUUUACUAUAUGUAAAAAUUAUAUACUUGAAUAAUUUUGAACGAAAGGGAAUACGGUUCCAAUUCCGUAACCUGUUGAGUAUCCGUUUGUUAUUAAAUAUGGGCCUCGUGCUCAUCCUGGCAACAGGAACGACCAUAAAGAAGCCGUCGAGAGAUAUCGGAAGAGUUUUCUUUUCUGUUUUAUAGUCGUACUACCAUGGAAGUCUUUCGCAGAGAGAUAUGGUAGAUGGGCUAGAAGAGCAUGACAUAUACUGUUGUGUCGAUAUUUUCUCCUCGGACCUUGAAAAUUUAUGGUGGGGAUACGCAAACUUCUCAACAGGCCGUACCAAUAUCCGCAGCUGGUCUCCAAGGUGAAGAGUCUCUAGUCGAUAGAAUAAUGUAGGUAAGGGAAGUCGGCAAAUUAGAUCCGUAACUUCGGGAUAAGGAUUGGCUCUGAAGAUUGAGAUAGUCGGGCUUGAUUGGGAAACAAUAAUAUGGUUUAUGUGCUCGUUCUGGGUAAAUAGAGUUUCGAUCAUUUAUGGUUGUAACUUGUUCCCCGGAUAGUUAGUUACGUAUCCAAUUGUGGAACUUUCUUGCUAAAAUUUUUAAGAAUACUAGUUGGGUCAAACCAAUUAGUUCUUAUUAAUUAUAACGAUUAUCAAUUAACAAUCAAUUCAGAACUGGCACGGACUUGGGGAAUCCGACUGUCUAAUUAAAACAAAGCAUUGUGAUGGCCCUAGCGGGUGUUGACACAAUGUGAUUUCUGCCCAGUGCUCUGAAUGUCAAAGUGAAGAAAUUCAAGUAAGCGCGGGUCAACGGCGGGAGUAACUAUGACUCUCUUAAGGUAGCCAAAUGCCUCGUCAUCUAAUUAGUGACGCGCAUGAAUGGAUUAACGAGAUUCCUACUGUCCCUAUCUACUAUCUAGCGAAACCACAGCCAAGGGAACGGGCUUGGAAUAAUUAGCGGGGAAAGAAGACCCUUUUGAGCUUGACUCUAAUCUGGCAGUGUAAGGAGACAUAAGAGGUGUAGAAUAAGUGGGAGAUAUUAGACUUCGGUUUGGUAUCGCCAAUGAAAUACCACUACUCUUAUUGUUUCCUUACUUACUUGAUUAAAUGGAACGUGUAUCAUUUCCUAGCCAUUAUACGGAUAUAUUUAUUAUAUCUUAUGGUAUUGGGUUUUGAUGCAAGCUUCUUGAUCAAAGUAUCACGAGUUUGUUAUAUAAUCGCAAACAAAUUCUUUAAUGAGAGAUGCAUUUACUGUAUUAUUGAUUUGAAAAUUUGGUAUAACUCCAAUUACUCAGGUAUGAUCCAAUUCAAGGACAUUGCCAGGUAGGGAGUUUGACUGGGGCGGUACAUCUCUCAAAUAAUAACGGAGGUGUCCCAAGGCCAGCUCAGUGCGGACA
rnacentral:rRNA from 1 species